rnacentral:lncRNA from 1 species
AGAGAUCAGAACAAUAACAGACAUCGAAAAGGGAAAUUUGGAACAUUUACUCCACCAGUGACUACGAGUAGGAAAAAAACAACGAUACUUCGACCAGGAAUUAUUUGUUAUUAUUGUCAAAAUGAAGGUCAUUUUGCGAGGGAAUGUAAGGCUCAUAAUAAGAGGCGAUUUCCAUCUUCACAAAAUAAUAGAACUUUCCCAAAAAACGGAUUAAACCCCCCUUCCGUUCUAUAAGUCGGGAGGGGCGGUCGAAAUUCAUUUCAGUACCGAGUACGAGAGAUGAUUAUAGGAGAAGGGAGAAACGUAAUAUGAGAAGGAGAACUAACACACGUCUAAAACACAUCACACAAUUAAAAGCACAUCAUAAUUCCAUAAUAUUGUAUAAUACCAUUAAUAAUUUAGGUAGAUCGGAAGAUCCUAUUGUAGACUGUCAAGUAGAAAAUCAAUAUUGUCCUUUAUUAAUAGAUACUGGCUCGCGACUAACUUUAAUUCCUAGAAAUUUAAUGGAACAACAAAUAGGGUUAAGGAAAGCUGAUGA